rnacentral:snRNA from 3 species
GUGCUCAUUUCAGCAGCAUAUAUACUAAAAUUGGAAUGAUACAGAGAAGAUUAGCAUGGCCCCUGCCCAAAGAUGACACGCAAAUUUGUAAAGCAUUCCUUUUUUUU